rnacentral:rRNA from 1 species
UACGUAGGGUCCGAGCGUUGUCCGGAAUUACUGGGCGUAAAGAGCUCGUAGGUGGUUUGUCGCGUUGUUCGUGAAAACUCACAGCUUAACUGUGGGCGUGCGGGCGAUACGGGCAGACUGGAGUACUGCAGGGGAGACUGGAAUUCCUGGUGUAGCGGUGGAAUGCGCAGAUAUCAGGAGGAACACCGGUGGCGAAGGCGGGGUCUCUGGGCAGUAACUGACGCUGAGGAGCGAAAAGCCGUGGGGGAGCGAACAGG